rnacentral:lncRNA from 1 species
UUAAAGUUGCGCCAUCUAUCGUUAAUUAUUGCAACAUCGAUCUAGCUUUGCCACAGAUAAUAAAAUAUUACGUUUUUAAAAGUUUGUGUUUAUUUGCAAAAUACAUUUUAUUGAAUUAAUUAAAUGUUUAGUUGUAAUUCUCAUAAAUUAUAGGAGAUACAAUAUCAAAUUUAAAAAAAAAAUAUAACCACCUAUAAAUAUCAUUUAAAACUAAAUUUGAGAACAAAAAAAACGCAACUUUCAAAUAACGUAGGUAGGUUAGUAACCUAACUAUGUUUGAAAAUGUUUGUUUUCGUUUGAAUUACGAGUCGAACGCGCCUUCUACGUUUUGUGUAUUGUGGUUUACAAACUGACCCUGGACUGAAAUCGGACUUUGAUUUGGCUUCAUGAAACCUGCUUUCACGUAGCGGCACAGGAACAGUGGUUAUAAAAAAUGACUGCACACAAUUGUUCUUAUUAUAAUUGUACAAAUUCUUCGGAACAGAAGUCAAUGUUCCGUUUUCCGUAGGAUGACGUCAACCGCCUAAAAGUAUGGCUUGAGAAUUGCGGUAAUAUGAACAUUGCCCACUUGCCUGCAGAAAAUUUGCGGUCAAGGUAUUUAUGCAUUGACCAUUUCAAUAUCAAGUAUGUACGAAAUGAGACUGGUCAUAGAAAAAGACUCCAGAGAAGUGCAGUUCCAGAACCAUAUCAGACUCAAGACGUUCAAAAUCGCUCAAGCACUUCCUCACCAGGUUCAUCAGGUACUUUUAAAGUACUGACACCGAAAAAGGUGUACAAAAAUAAACGGCUUCGCGACUGCGAACUUGAAGAGCUCGUGGAGCCGCCAGCAUUAGCAUACCAGUGCAACACGCCGAAGAGAAGACGGUUGUCAAUUACUGAAGACACGCCAAAAUGCAAAGUGUUAAAAAAGAAAUUAGUAUUGUAUCUAACAAUAACAAAAUGUAAUACCUUUUGAAUUAAAGAAGUAGUUUAAUUGAAUA